CCUACGGGGAGCAGCAGUGGGGAAUAUUGGACAAUGGGCGAAAGCCUGAUCCAGCCAUGCCGCGUGUGUGAAGAAGGCCUUCGGGUUGUAAAGCACUUUCAGUGGGGAAGAAAGCCUUGGGGCUAAUACCCUCGAGGAAGGACAUCACCCACAGAAGAAGCACCGGCUAACUCCGUGCCAGCAGCCGCGGUAAUACGGAGGGUGCGAGCGUUAAUCGGAAUUACUGGGCGUAAAGCGCGCGUAGGCGGUCUGAUAAGCCGGUUGUGAAAGCCCCGGGCGCAACCUGGGAACGGCAUCCGGAACUGUCAGGCUAGAGUGCAGGAGAGGAAGGUAGAAUUCCCGGUGUAGCGGUGAAAUGCGUAGAGAUCGGGAGGAAUACCAGUGGCGAAGGCGGCCUUCUGGACUGACACUGACGCUGAGGUGCGAAAGCGUGGGUAGCAAACAGGAUUAGAUACCCUGGUAGUC
rnacentral:rRNA from 1 species